UCUCCGUUGGUGAACCAGCGGGGGGAUCAUUACAGAGUUGCAAAACUCCCGAACCAUUGUGAACGUUACCUAUCCCGUUGCUUCGGCGGGCGGCCCGGGCCCCGCGCCCGGCGCCCCCCGGCCCCCCGUGGGCGCCCGCCGGAGGUAAACCAAACCCUUGAAUUGCAUGGCCUCUCUGAGUCUUCUGUACUGAAUAAGUCAAAACUUUCAACAACGGAUCUCUUGGUUCUG
rnacentral:misc_RNA from 1 species